GAUAUAGUAGUGGGGAUAUAGUAGUGGGGAUACCAUUAGUGGGGAUAUAGUAGUGGGGAUAUAGUAGUGUGGAUAUAGUAGUGGGGAUAUAGUAGUGGGGAUAUAGUAGUGUGGAUAUAGUAGUGGGGAUAUAGUAGUGUGGAUAUAGUAGUGUGGAUAUAGUAGUGGGGAUAUAGUAGUGGGGAUAUAGUAGUGUGGAUAUAGUAGUGGGGAUAUAGUAGUGUGGAUAUAGUAGUGGGGAUAUAGUAGUGGGGAUAUAGUAGUGGGGAUAUAGUAGUGGGGAUAUAGUAGUGGGGAUAUAGUAGUGGGGAUAUAGUAGUGGGGAUAUAGUAGUGGGGCACCGUUGCGAGCAGCCCUGACUGCACCGGGUUGUGGCACUGCUUAUUGGAAGGCCUCCGGCGCCGCACGGCCAGGAGGGUUUGGGCCCAGCUCAGCCGCCCCUGGUUCUCUGCGAUGGCCCUGAGGAGAUCCUCGCUCAUCUGCUGCUGGCUGGUGAACUCGACCAGAAACUGGUGAAUGGUGAACUGGAGGGGAAAUGAUCACUGCCCCGUCUGUGCGUCCUCACUGAAUGCCCACGACCUUCUCCUCCACCUUGGCCAGCUCGUCCCCCGUCUGGCUCCUGGCGGACAAGGACGUUCCGCUCCACUGGAGCCUCCAGGGCUUUCGCCAGUCUGCUGGACAUCUUGAAGAGGUCGUCCACCUCCCCGGUGAUCUGCUCCAACUUCCACUCCGAAUCCUUCCUCAGAAACUGGAUGUCUCUGAGGAGCUGAUCUGAGGAGCACAAGGAUCAAGGAUUCCCACUACGGCCCCUCUCCGUGCAUCCAGCUGUAGCUGAAACACACGGGUCCAUGGCUUGUGUCCCCCUUGUGUCCCCCUCACUCACCCAGCCGCUCGGUGACAUCGCUUUGCAUGCGCCGCCAUGCUGUGUCCAUUUCCGUGACGGCCGUCCUGCAUUCUGCUCUGAUGAGCUGGGACUCGUUCCGCGUGACCUCCACGUCCACGGGAGUGCUGGGGGCCG
ensembl:lncRNA